rnacentral:lncRNA from 1 species
UGUUUUUUGAACUGCCUUAAUUUUCAGUGUGAGAGAAAUGAUGUAGAUGUAGAUGAUAGAUGUUAUUAUUAGUUUAAAUCAGGGCUUUAUGUGUGAAGACGCACGCAAAACGGAUCAUUUAAAUUUAUUGGUAUUGGUACGAAUCACUGUAAUACGCCUGUACGUCAGCGGCAGCUCCGAGGCAGUAUCUUUUCCUAUGCACAAUAAAUAGGGCGUACCGAGCCCUGCUUUAAAUGCUAACCAGACGGCGAUGGCUUAUAAUACAAAAUUUCCAAGGUAUGUAUGCACAUGUCUACAUACAAGAAUCCAUAUCGAACAGCACCAACCGUAAUAAAUUGCACAAGUCUGAUGUUGUGAAAUUACAGAGAAAUGUUAAACUUGCUUCAGCAUGGUAAUGAGAUACAUACGAGUAUUAGCUCACGGCCGGAGAUGAUGCUUAAGCACGACUUUUUGCAACACGAGCACGUACACACACAUACAGCCUGCGAAGGCCAGAACAGUCAGACCGACAGUGAAAAAUAUGACACCCUAUUUCCGUUUCCCGUACGCUAACAAUAAUGGCAGACAAUAUGGCGCAGCUUACGCUCAGAAGUGAUUGUCACACCAGCCGCCAGCAGACAGCAACUAACCAAAAGUUUCGUUGGAUGCAAAAAAAAAAAAACGAUUAGGAACGUUUGUGAGAUGCUCAUACAAGUCAACACUUUUAUAAAAGGUACUUUUUCACAUUAUAUCAAAAUUCAUAUGCAAGCAUCC